rnacentral:rRNA from 1 species
ACCUUCAAAAAAGCGUCAAAGCUUAGAUACACAUACCUUAAUUUAUUUAUCCAUAUUGAACCCUUUAAUUGUACUGAGAACUUCUAUACUAUAUAGAAUUUUUUAUGCUAAAACUAGUAACAAGAGAUACCCCUCUCCCUAGUGUAAAUGUAAGUCAGCAAGAACCCAUCACUGACAACUAACAGAUUUAAACAAAAGUAGUAACUCCACAAGAAAACCCCACUUUUUCUCCUGUUAACCUAACACAAGAACACUUCAAGAAAGAUUAAAAGAAAAAGAAGGAACUCGGCAAAACCUAGCCCCGCCUGUUUACCAAAAACAUCGCCUCUUGAUUACCUCUAUAAGAGGUCUUGCCUGCCCAGUGACUCUGUUCAACGGCCGCGGUACCCUAACCGUGCGAAGGUAGCGUAAUCACUUGUUUUCUAAAUAAAGACCAGUAUGAAAGGCGUCACGAGGGUUAAACUGUCUCCUCUUUCUAAUCAGUGAACCUAAUCUUCCCGUGAAGAAGCGGGAAUUACCCCAUAAGACGAGAAGACCCUGUGGAGCUUAAAACAUCAUAACACUGCUAACAAAUACCAAUAUUCAGAUACCCCCUCCCUCAAAGCACGAUGAUUAUAAGUUUUUGGUUGGGGUGACCGCGGAGAAAAAUUAAACCUCCACUAUGAAAAGAGCCCUCCUUAACAAUAAGCUACAACCUUAUGUAUCAACAAAUUGACAUUAUUGACCCAACAAAUUGAUCAACGAACCAAGUUACCCCAGGGAUAACAGCGCAAUCCACUUUGAGAGCUCUUAUCGACAAGUGGGCUUACGACCUCGAUGUUGGAUCGGGAUAUCCUAGUGGUGCAGCCGCUACUU